UGGGGAAUAUUGCGCAAUGGGCGAAAGCUUGACGCAGCAACGCCGCGUGAGUGAUGAAGGCCUUCGGGUCGUAAAGCUCUGUCAGGAGGAGCGAACACCCGGCAGGAACAAUACCCUGUCGGUUUGUCGGUACCUCCAGAGGAAGCACCGGCUAACUCCGUGCCAGCAGCCGCGGUAAUACGGAGGGUGCUAGCGUUGUUCGGAAUUACUGGGCGUAAAGCGCGUGUAGGCGGAUCCAGAAGUCGGGUGUGAAAGCCCUGGGCUUAACCCAGGAAGUGCGCCCGAAACCAUGGGUCUUGAGGUCCGGAGGGGAUCGGGGAAUUCCCAGUGUAGAGGUGAAAUUCGUAGAUAUUGGGAGGAACACCGGUGGCGGAGGCGCCGAUCUGGACGGAUUCUGACGCUGAGACGCGAAAGCGUGGGUAGCAAACAG
rnacentral:rRNA from 1 species